rnacentral:lncRNA from 10 species
UUAAACAAGAGGAAUUUAUUUAUUACAGUUCUGUGGGCUGAGAAGUCCAAGAUCAAGGCACCAGCCAAUUCUUUUCCCUAGUAAGGGCCUUUUUCUUGCAGAUGGCCACUUUCUUCCUGUGCCCUCACAAGGUGAAGAGAGAGAGAGAGGAAACAAACUCUGGUGUCUCUUCUUAUAAGGGCACUAAUCACAUCAUGAGGGCCUCAACCUCAUGACCUCUUCUAAAUCUAAUUAACUUCCUAACUCAGGAAUGGAAAACCAAAUAUCGUGUGUUCUCACUCAUAAGUGGGAGCUAAGCUAUGAGGAUGCAAAGGCAUAAGAAUGACACAAUGGACUUUGGGGAGUCAGAGGAAAAGGAGGGGAAGUGGGUGAGAGAUAAAAGACUACAGAUUGGUGCAGUGUACACUGCUCAGGUGAUGGGCGCACCAAAAUCUCACAAAUCACCACUAAAGAGCUUACUCAUGUAACUAAACACUACCUGUUCCCCAAUAACCUAUGGAAAUAAAAAAUUUAAAUAAAUACAUUUAACUUCCAAACACCCCAUCUCCAAAUACCAUCACAUUAAGGGUUAAAGCUUCAACAUACGAAACUGGGUAGGGAGUGGGGCACAGAAUUCAGUUUAUAGCAUCCCCCAGGUCAGAAGCUUGUGGGUCAGUCUAGAAUUCCUCCUUCUCAUCACCCCGCUCAAUAGUCAGUGAUAAUCAUCAAGUCCCAAUGAUGCAUCCUAAAUAUGCCUUGCAUUCUUCUCGUCUCCAUCCCUGUUGUCAAUAGCUCAGUACAGGCCUUCAUUAACUCUUGCCUGGAGUUUUGCAAUAGCCUUCUACCUGGGCUCCUUCCAAUCUCAUCGUUGUUAAAUCCAUCCUCCAAGUAGCAGCUACAGCAAGAUACCUAAACUGAAAGUGUGGGGCUAGAUCAAACUUCAGGCACAGCUGAGUUAGAGCUCAAAAGAUAGCAUAAAUAUUUGGUUUUUCAUUAUCUUUCUCUUCUGCUUUUCAAGUGUUGCCUUUAGUCCUAGGCUUCAUGUGAUAGCAACAGAGUUGCAA